rnacentral:lncRNA from 1 species
CAGCAAGCAAAGCCAAAACAUUCAACUCUGGUUUCUCUCAAAAGUUUGAAAUCAACUUGGUUAUAGUUCUGAAAUUCAUUACCCCAGAGAAAGGAAGAAAUGGACUUGAUCUGGUGGAUGUGGAUGUUUAUGGUUGGAAUUUUCAAGCAUCCUCCUCAUGCAGCUCUAGGAAAUGAGUGCGUGGCUUUCCAGAUGGAACAAACCACAAAUGAAUGUGAGCAGCCUCCAGAAGCUGGAAAAGGAAAGAAAAUGGAUUCUUCCCUGUAGUCUGCAGAAAGAAAUGCAGCAUUUCUGACACUUUGAUUUUUGCCUGAUGUUAUGGACUAAAUAUUUGUGUCCCUCUUAAAUUUAACAUGUUGACGUCCUAACUAUUAAUGUGACUGUAUUUGGAAAUAGGACCUGUUAGUAGGUAAUAAAGGUUAAAUGAGCUGACAAGCAUGGGGCUCUAAUUCUAUAGGGCUAGUGACUUUAUAAGAGGAGAAAGAGACACCAGAGCAUUCUCUCUCUCUCUCUACCAUGUGAGGACACAAUGAGAAGAUGGCCAUCUGCAAGCCAAGUAGAGAGCCCUCACCUGAAACUGAACUGACCACAACUUUGCUUUUGGACUUUCCAGCCUCUAGAAUUGUAAGAAAAAUAAAUUCCUGUUUAAACUG